rnacentral:rRNA from 1 species
GACGAACCAUGCAAACGUUAUUCGGAAUCACUGGGCUUAAAGCGUGCGUAGGCGGCUCAGAAAGUUGGGUGUGAAAUCCCUCGGCCUAACCGAGGAAUUGCGCCCAAAACUACUGGGCUCGAGGGAGUUAGAGGUGAGCGGAACUCACGGUGGAGCGGUGAAAUGCGUUGAUAUCGUGAGGAACACCGGAGGCGAAAGCGGCUCACUGGGGCUUUUCUGACGCUGAGGCACGAAAGCCAGGGGAGCAAACGGG